AUGAGUGUUCUGAACAUGCACCAACAUCACCUGAGGCGAGGCCAUCACCUAAAGAUAUUGACUCUUCUGCCACUUCUCCUGGGAUUAGGCUCUGUGUUUGGUGCUCUCCUAUCUCAAAAGCCAAGCAGGGACACCUGUGAAUACGGGACCUCCGUGAUGAUCCAGUGUUAUAGGUCGAUGGCCAGCUCACCUUCAUGUACUGGUACCGUCAGUUUCCAGGACAGAGUUUGGUGCUGAUGGCAACUGUGAAUCAGGGCUCUGAGGCCACUUAUGGGAGUGGGCUCACCAAGGACAAGUUUCCCAUUCGCCGCCCAAACCUGCCGUUCUCAACUCUGACUGUGAGCAACGUGAGCCCCGAGGGUAGCAGCUCUUUACUUCUGCAGCGCUGGAGACGCGUGCUGGGCACAGAUCGAAGGUCCCAGCAAGAACCCCUGCAACCUCCUACCCGACUCCAUCCAGGUGAGCCUGAGAACCCUGGGAAGCAGGCUGGAGGGGGGAAACCACAGCUCUUGGGCAGAUGCAGCUGCCUGUGUACUGGUGGGUGGGGAUGGGUGUGAAUGGGAAAUGGGCAAAUUCACCUACAAAUAA